rnacentral:rRNA from 1 species
CCGGUAAUAAACCGGAGGAAGGUGGGGAUGACGUCAAGUCCUUCAUGGCCCGUUAUGGGUAGGGCUUCACACGUCAUACAAUGGUCGGUACAGAGGGUUGCCAACCCGCGAGGGGGAGCUAAUCCCACAAAGCCGAUCGUAGUCCGGAUCGCAGUCUGCAACUCGACUGCGUGAAGUCGGAAUCGCUAGUAAUCGUGGAUCAGCAUGUCACGGUGAAUACGUUCCCGGGUCUU